UACGAAGGGGGCUAGCGUUGUUCGGAAUUACUGGGCGUAAAGCGCGCGCAGGCGGUUCUUCAAGUCAGAGGUGAAAGCCCAGAGCUCAACUCUGGAAUGGCCUUUGAGACUAGAGAACUAGGGUACGGGAGAGGUGAGUGGAAUUCCGAGUGUAGAGGUGAAAUUCGUAGAUAUUCGGAAGAACACCAGUGGCGAAGGCGGCUCACUGGCCCGUUACCGACGCUCAGGUGCGACAGCGUGGGGAGCAAACAGG
rnacentral:rRNA from 1 species